UCGUCCAUGUGUUCCCUCAUCCCUUGCCCGCUCUCGCUCCUCCACUCCGCAUAAAUCCUCGAGAGCAACGAACGCGACACGUGGGCGGUCAGCGUCUGCUGAGGCUGAGGAUGGCACCGCACUCGUGCCCCCGCCCCGCCGCCGUGGCGCCGCGCUCCUCCCUCCUCCUCGCCCCCUCGCCGGCCGCCGCGCCCCUCUCGUGCCUCGCGGCGGCGUCCCCGUCGCGCGGCGCGGAUAAGCGGAGGAAGCUCAGUUUAGUGCGCGCAAGAACCGAUGGUUCGGGGUCCGGCGCUGCGGCGGCCGAGGCAUCCACCGUGGGAGACAAUUUGGAAGGGGAGGAAAGCGGCGGCGGGGAGGUAAUUGCUUCGGCUGGCUCAUCGGCAGGGAAGCAGCCGCCUCCCGUCAAUCCCAAUAUUGAAAAGGAGCUCAAGAAGGCAGUCCAGAAGACUGCCGCAACCUUUGCACCGAGGGCGUCCACGAAAACAAAGAACCCUGCUGUCCCUGGAAGUGCCCUGUACACUAUUUUUGAAGUCCAGGGAUACGUCUCCAUGCUGUUGGGUGGAGCCCUUUCCUUCAAUCUCGUGUUUCCAUCAAAUGAGCCUGACAUCUGGAGGUUGAUGGGAAUGUGGUCCAUUUGGAUGUUCACUAUACCUUCACUUCGGGCCCGUGACUGCUCAAACAAGGAGAAAGAGGUUCUCAACUACUUAUUUCUCCUUAUUCCCCUGAUCAAUGUUAUAAUUCCAUUCUUCGUGAAAUCCUUUGCUGUUGUCUGGUCAGCAGAUACAGUUGCUUUCUUUGUGAUGUAUGCAUGGAAGGUAACUUCUUAUAGUAAUGUUUGCUGCUCCUUCAGAUUAAGUCAUUAAAAAUUAAGCAUAUUCUUUCUGCACAGCUUGGAUGGCUUCAAAGUUCGGAGUAAAAGAUUUUCAGUGUGCUUUCUUGGUGAUGUAUGCAUUGAAGCUUGAAUGACUGGCUGCAAAGGGCGGAGUGAAGAGCUUUUGUGGUUGAAGAAACAUUUGUCCUCAAUUUUUGGUCAUUUGGAGGGGGGGGGGGGGCAUGGAAAAACAUGCUUUGACCAUUUAAGUGAUAAAUAGAUGUACCUGUAGUCUUCAAAUUUUGUUUGACUAAACUAGGCAGUCUAGAUGGGUUUCAAUUUCCCAACGUUGUCCCGGAUAAUAGCUGAGUUUGUUCUGAAGAUAAAGGAAGUACCAAAUGAAGUCAGAUGAAGCAACAAGCGUAACUUCAAAACAUUUGUAUAGUUCAAGUCAGAUCUGAGACUUUUGGACCCACAUUACCACGAAAGAAUAUCAUGUUGCCCAUGGCUUAUGUUCUAACAUGAUUGCAUGCUUCCAGCUUCAGAAGUUCAGAUACUUCUGUUCCAAUGUGGUGCUCAGUGACCACUUCCCUGGCCCCUUGUUCUAGAAUAGGAGCUGUACAAAGCAUACUGUAAUUAUGUACAUGCCAGAUUAGAAACUAGGUUUGCAGAAUUUCACCUUAAUUUGCUGGCAUCCAGACCAGACAAGAAGACUACAUGAGAACACUGUGCUCUCUAUUACUCUUUUUUAC